rnacentral:rRNA from 1 species
UCUGUUUGAUCCUGGCAGAGGUUGCUGCUAUCGAGGUUCGACUAAGCCAUGCGAGUCGAAUGUAGCAAUACAUGGCGAACUGCUCAGUAACACGUGGACAACCUGCCCUUAGGUUGGGUAUAAACCCGGGAAACUGGGUAUAAUACCCGAUAGGUCUCGAUUGCUGGAAUGCAUCGAGAUUUAAAGCUCCGGCGCCUAAGGAUGGGUCUGCGGCCUAUCAGGUAGUAGUGGGCGUAGCGUACCUACUAGCCUACGACGGGUACGGGUUGUGAGAGCAAGAGCCCGGAGAUGGAUUCUGAGACACGAAUCCAGGCCCUACGGGGUGCAGCAGGCGCGAAAACUUUACAAUGCUGGCAACAGCGAUAAGGGAACCUCGAGUGCCAGGUUACAAAUCUGGCUGUCGAGAUGCCUAAAAAGCAUUUCAUAGCAAGGGCCGGGCAAGACCGGUGCCAGCCGCCGCGGUAACACCGGCGGCUCGAGUGGUAACCGUUAUUAUUGGGUCUAAAGGGUCUGUAGCCGGCCGGAUAAGUCUCUUGAGAAAUCUGGCAGCUUAACUGUCAGGCUUUCAGGAGAUACUGUCUGGCUCGAGGCCGGGAGAGGUGAGAGGUACUUCAGGGGUAGGGGUGAAAUCUUGUAAUCCUUGAAGGACCACCAGUGGCGAAGGCGUCUCACCAGAACGGACCUGACGGCAAGGGACGAAAGCUAGGGGCACGAACCGGAUUAGAUACCCGGGUAGUCCUAGCCGUAAACGAUACUCGCUAGGUGUCGGCCACGGUGCGACCGUUGUCGGUGCCGUAGGGAAGCCGUGAAGCGAGCCACCUGGGAAGUACGGCCGCAAGGCUGAAACUUAAAGGAAUUGGCGGGGGAGCACCACAACGGGUGGAGCUUGCGGUUUAAUUGGAUUCAACGCCGGAAAUCUUACCGGGACCGACAGCAAUAUGAAGGCCAGGCUGAAGACUUUGCCGGAUUAGCUGAGAGGUGGUGCAUGGCCGUCGUCAGUUCGUACUGUGAAGCAUCCUGUUAAGUCAGGCAACGAGCGAGACCCAA